rnacentral:rRNA from 1 species
GAUGAACGCUGGCGGCGUGCCUAAUACAUGCAAGUCGAGCGAACAGACGAGGAGCUUGCUCCUCUGACGUUAGCGGCGGACGGGUGAGUAACACGUGGAUAACCUACCUAUAAGACUGGGAUAACUUCGGGAAACCGGAGCUAAUACCGGAUAAUAUAUUGAACCGCAUGGUUUAAUAGUGAAAGACGGUUUUGCUGUCACUUAUAGAUGGAUCCGCGCCGCAUUAGCUAGUUGGUAAGGUAACGGCUUACCAAGGCGACGAUGCGUAGCCGACCUGAGAGGGUGAUCGGCCACACUGGAACUGAGACACGGUCCAGACUCCUACGGGAGGCAGCAGUAGGGAAUCUUCCGCAAAGGGCGAAAGCCUGACGGAGCAACGCCGCGUGAGUGAUGAAGGUCUUCGGAUCGUAAAACUCUGUUAUUAGGGAAGAACAAAUGUGUAAGUAACUAUGCACGUCUUGACGGUACCUAAUCAGAAAGCCACGGCUAACUACGUG